rnacentral:lncRNA from 10 species
AGUUGGAGGGGACUGAACGACAACGGGGCGCUACUCAGGCAACCUGGGGGACUCCCCCAAGGGCUGUCAGGCUUCAGCUGGGAGCCGAUGCAACACCCCAGCGGGGAGGGGAGGUCGGCCCAUUCUAAUCCCGACGUGUCCUUGGUCCCAGGCGCUCGGAGCAGCAUCUGAGAGGGCUCACUCUGAUCAUCAGCUGCACGUUAAGCCACAAACCGGCGUCGCUUCGGCGUUCCGGAACCCAGGCCUGGGGGCCGCGGGGAUUGCCUCUGCGUGCAACUCCGGAAAGUUUCAAGGGGUCCCCCGACUGCACAGGUACCCUCACCUUUCCUGCCGGCGAACGCUGGCGACCGCCCGACCCUGCCCUCUUUCUCUCUUCGCACGCAGGUCCGGAAAUCGGCUUUGAUAUGGAACUACUCCGCUCUAGCCUGGAAAGGAGACCCGCGCACUCCUCUCGCAGCUAAUUUCGGAUCAUUAAUUUAAUCGGAAAUGAGGUAACCAGUGUAGGAGACAGAGAAAGCAACCGGAGCAUCAAAUGGCAGUUCUCGAGAAUCGACGAGGAACUUAAAUCUGGACUCAGGGUUUCAGUGCGGUCUCCGACUCCCACCACCCCGCCCCUCCGCCUGUCUCGCCGCCAGGUGUGACCUCCACGCGAAGGAAUCUUCUUCGGAUGGGUGCACCUUGCCAACAGGUGUGGCACCUGGAGGACUAGGAGGCGCCUCCAGACUAAGGGCGCUCAGUGCGGCGUUCUUGUUGCAGAUGAUUCUGGAAGGCCGGUAGGUGUCGGGCGACAUUUGACCUUCUUCAGGUGCUUAGAACUAAGUGUCUGGAAACAUGAUCCUUUCGCGUAAGUUUCUUUCUGAAAGCCACCAAUCUUGACUGUAAGCUGUAUUUGAGAGAUCUUUUGGCUGAGUUUACUUAUGACCUAACGGUUAGUCACCAACUGAGGCAGGGCACAGGAUGACCAAAAAAAAAGUGUCAGUUUUUACACAACUCUGGCCUGCAAGAGCCUACGUGCUUCAUAAAUAAAAAUAAACAUACGAGCGAGGAAGGUGCAGA